rnacentral:rRNA from 1 species
GUGGAUUAGAUACCCUGGUAGUCCACGCCGUAAACGAUGGAUGCUAGCCGUUGGCAGGCUUGCCUGUCAGUGGCGCAGCUCACGCAUUAAGCAUCCCGCCUGGGGAGUACGGUCGCAAGAUUAAAACUCAAAGGAAUUGACGGGGGCCCGCACAAGCGGUGGAGCAUGUGGUUCAAUUCGAAGCAACGCGCAGAACCUUACCAACCUUUGACAUCCCGAUCGCGGGCACCAGAGAUGGAGCCUUUCAGUUCGGCUGGAUCGGAGACAGGUGCUGCACGGCCGUCGCCAACU